GAAUGGUCUCGUGCACGUGUGCACGCAAUUAAUUCGGUUCUUCAGAAGCCAGUUGUUUAGAAGUCUGUCUGCCGUUUGAUUCUUCAUUUGCAAAAGCAAAAUGGCUGAUAUGUCGAGCAUGUCAAGCAUGUCAAGCAUGUCAAGCAUGUCGGAGAUGUCCGGCAUGAGCGGAAUUUCCACAACCGGAGGUGCUGAAGAAA